rnacentral:rRNA from 1 species
UGCGCGCGAAUAUUGCGCACAAUAGGGGGAAACCCUGAUGCAGCGACGCCGCGUGGAGGAAGAAGGUCUUCGGAUUGUAAACUCCUGUUGUUGGGGAAAAGAAGGAUGGUACCCAACAAGGAAGUGACGGCUAACUACGCAGCCGCGGUAAUACA